CUAUCCUUCUGUUUCACCAUCAGCACCCACCCACUCCCUCUCCUUCAACAAAGACUUGAAGCUUUUAAACAUUAACAAAGAUGCUACCAUUAUCAUUUAAUUAGUUUGUGCUUGUUUUUGUGCUUUUCGUCAAAAUCAAAGUGUGUGGCUUAUGUUCAUCACUUGAACAAAACCAUUUUUACUCUCUGCUAUUCAUCAUCUUCACAGUCCCUGCAAAUAGAACAACCAUCACCACCACCACAAUGCUAUAAUUACAGAACUCCAAAACUAUUUUGUGUUGAAUAACCUAUUUUCCUCUAACCCAUUGUAACAAAUCUCAAUUUUUUAUGGCUUCAUCAAGAACAACCACAAACUAAAACAAAAUUGCCCUUUGUCACAAGAACAAUCACCAAAACAGAAGCUUUCUCUCAAAUACAAACUCAAUAAUUCUCUGUUUUUCAUGUUGUUUCUCUCACCACCGCGUGAAACUGAGAAUCGUUCGAAGCUAAUCGGAAUCGCAAUCACAGCCACAAUCACAACAUCGGCGAUGCAAAUGUCGAGCGAUGGAAAACGUGAAGCACCCAGCAACGGCAGAGAAGAAACAAAAACCGCACCACGACGGAGAAUAACCCAUCAACGGCGGCGGUGAUAGCAGAUUAGCAGUACCUUUAAUGUGUUGAUACAGUAUCUUCUUCAUCAUUUUUUCCCAAAUCAAAAACCCCAAAAUAAUCAAAUCGGAAAUCGGAAAUGGAAGGUGAGCAUGAAAGUCGUCGGCGAUGUUGCCUUCAUCAGCACCGGUGCAAAAUUGAGGAAUUUCGCCGACGAUGUUACCUUCGUCGGCGCUGGUGCAAAAUUGAGGAAUUUGUGGGUUUGUGGAUUUGUGGAAGCAACAAAUUCAAACCAAGCACACUGUAAAUCUCACCGUUGGAUGAUGAUGGGUCGAGUUUGAGGAUUCAGGAGGUGGUUGAUGCAGUGGGUACGGCGGCGGUGGCUGUGGAACAUCGCAGAGGUGGAAAAUGAAGGAAAAAUAAGAAGAAGGAAAAGAACGAGGGAAGAAGAGAAGGAGAUUGAGGAAAGAAGGUAGGGAUAAUUUUGACAUUUCAAGUUUGUCUUUGUUCAUUAAGGGUAAAAUGGUCAAUUCAGGUGCUAUUUGUUGACUCAUAAUAGCCUUUUACUAAUCAGUUUGUGCCACGUCAUUUUUAUGUGACUAAUGAC
rnacentral:lncRNA from 1 species